rnacentral:rRNA from 1 species
AUUAAACGCUGGCGGCAUGCCUUACACAUGCAAGUCGAACGGCAGCACGGGGGCAACCCUGGUGGCGAGUGGCGGACGGGUGAGUAAAGCAUCGGAACGUAUCCUGGAGUGGGGGGAUAACGUAGCGAAAGUUACGCUAAUACCGCAUAUUCUGUGAGCAGGAAAGCAGGGGAUCGCAAGACCUUGCGCUCUGGGAGCGGCCGAUGUCGGAUUAGCUAGUUGGUGGGUAAAGGCCUACCAAGGCGACGAUCCGUAGCGGGUCUGAGAGGAUGAUCCGCCACACUGGGACUGAGACACGGCCCAGACUCCUACGGGAGGCAGCAGUGGGGAAUUUUGGACAAUGGGCGGAAGCCUGAUCCAGCCAUGCCGCGUGAGUGAAGAAGGCC